rnacentral:misc_RNA from 1 species
GAUGAAGAACGCAGCGAAAUGCGAUACGUAGUGUGAAUUGCAGAAUUCCGUGAACCAUCAAAUCUUUGAACGCAUAUUGCGCUCGAGGCUUCGGCCGAGAGCAUGUCUGCCUCAGCGUCGGUAUUACCCCUCGCUUCUCAACCCCUGGUUGAUGCCUGCCUGCCUUUGCAGUUGGCUAGAAGCGGAUCUGGCUUUCCCAAUUGCCUUUGGUAGUUGGGUCAGCUGAAGAACAGAGGCUUGAGCAAGGACCCUUAUUGGGCUUCAACUGGAUAGGUAGAACUGGUCUUAGGACCAACUACACGAAGUUGUUGCUUGUGGUCGUUGUCUGGAGGCCAGCAGGAAACCUUUAUACCUUCGACCUGAGCUCAGGCAAGAUUACCCGCUGAACUUAAGCAUAUCAAUAAGCGGAGGA